rnacentral:lncRNA from 1 species
AUAUGGAUGGACAUUCCUCAUCUGUCCCUAUGAAAAAGCAGCAGGUGAGAACUUUUUCUGUAUUAAAUGGAAAGGCUAACUCGCAAAUUGAGGUGAGAACUUAAUUUUGUUUCUGCUAUUGGUACAUUUUAAACAGAAACUUUGAAUUGUUCUGUUGUUUAAUAAAUGGGUAUUUAAUCUCUAUGGCAGUUUUCUUUUGGCGAAUUACAUGUUGAAGAUAAAGAUGACUUUCCU